rnacentral:tRNA from 1 species
CAGAAAAUAGUUUAGUUUAGAAUCCUAGCUUUGGAGGCCC